UGCCUAGGAAAUUGCCUUGAUGUGGGGGAUAACCAUUGGAAACGAUGGCUAAUACCGCAUAAUUUCGCAAGAACAAAGAGGGGGACCUUCGGGCCUCUCGCGUUGAGAUAUGCCUAGGUGGGAUUAGCUAGUUGGUGAGGUAAGGGCUCACCAAGGCGACGAUCUCUAGCUGGUCUGAGAGGAUGAUCAGCCACACUGGAACUGAGACACGGUCCAGACUCCUACGGGAGGCAGCAGUGGGGAAUAUUGCACAAUGGGCGCAAGCCUGAUGCAGCCAUGCCGCGUGUAUGAAGAAGGCCU
rnacentral:rRNA from 1 species